rnacentral:rRNA from 1 species
GUGGGGAAUUUUGGACAAUGGGCGCAAGCCUGAUCCAGCAAUGCCGCGUGCAGGAAGAAGGCCUUCGGGUUGUAAACUGCUUUUGUACGGAACGAAACGGUCCUGGUUAAUACCUGGGGCUAAUGACGGUACCGUAAGAAUAAGCACCGGCUAACUACGUGCCAGCAGCCACGGUAAUACGUAGGGUGCAAGCGUUAAUCGGAAUUACUGGGCGUAAAGCGUGCGCAGGCGGUUUUGUAAGACAGGCGUGAAAUCCCCGGGCUCAACCUGGGAAUUGCGCUUGUGACUGCAAGGCUGGAGUGCGGCAGAGGGGGAUGGAAUUCCGCGUGUAGCAGUGAAAUGCGUAGAUAUGCGGAGGAACACCGAUGGCGAAGGCAAUCCCCUGGGCCUGCACUGACGCUCAUGCACGAAAGCGUGGGGAGCAAACAGGAUUAGAUACCCUAGUAGUCC